AAAGCCUUAAGAGUGGUUUUUGCUAGAGAGUCGGCCCUAACAUUUUGAGCCCGAGGAAUAUGAAAAAAGGAAAUAGAGGCGAAGAGAGCAGAGAGAUGCCCGAUGUCGAAGGCGACGCCGUGAAUCUCCUUGUCUUGAGUCUCGCCAUUGAUCACUCUGAUGAGUGUUAGGUUAUCGGAGUGGAUCCUGAGCUUUUGGAUGUCUCGAAGGAUCGCCGAUUGGAGGGCUGAUCGAACCGCUAGGGCUUCCGCCAUUAGAGCUGAGCUUACAUGAUCCUAUGCAAGCGCGUUUUGGCCUUCCAUGGAGGUUGAUCGGUCACUGAAAUGCCAAGCUAAGUCCGCUUUAUUGGUGUUCUUGUCCCAUGCCGCAUCUGUGAAACAAAGGAGUUCCUUGUGCUUGAAUCCAUUCUCUGGCCGUUUUGAGAGCUCGCGACAUCACCUCUGUUGCGCUGUAUUCUUUGCGCUCGAAGAUCAGUUGAUUCCUUGCCGUCCAUAGAGACCAACACAUCCAAGGGAGGAAGUUUGAAGGGAUUCCAUAGGGUGGAAGACAUACAUACUUCCGGAAGUGUAGCAGAGUCUCUUGGAAGGUGGACGCAGCAACUAGGUGAAUUGCAGGUUGCGUAUCAAUACAUUGCCAAGCCUGUUGAGCAAAGGUACAUGUAAAGAAAAUAUGGUUUAUUGUUUCCAGUUCUCCACACCUGAUACACUUUGCUUUCAGGGAGACUCCUCGUCUGAGUAAGGCCUCUCCAACAGGGAUGACGUUCUGGAUAAUAGACCAUGUGAAGACCUUAAUUUUUGGAAGCAGCUGAGGCGUAACCAGUUUUUGUGGAGUAUAUCCCUGAAGUAACUGGGUACCAGAUAUAGGCAUAACUAAGUAAACCAAACAGAACUAUAAUAUUGUAGUACAUUGUUAUAUUGUAAUUUUGAGUAAAUAUGUUUUAAAGAUUAAACACUCGUAACUAAAUCUGUUUUUAUUGAUUUGUGUAUGAUAAAAAAAAAAUUGUGUAUAAUGAACUUUCGAAAAAAUACGGUUUUUAAUGAA